GACAGAGGGUGCAAACGUUGUUCGGAAUUACUGGGCGUAAAGCGCGUGUAGGCUGUUUCGCAAGUCGGAUGUGAAAGCCCUGGGCUCAACCUAGGAAGUGCACUCGAAACUGCGAAACUGGAGUCCUGGAGAGGAAGGCGGAAUUCUCGGUGUAGAGGUGAAAUUCGUAGAUAUCGAGAGGAACACCGGUGGCGAAGGCGGCCUUCUGGACAGUGACUGACGGCUGAGACGCGAAAAGCG
rnacentral:rRNA from 1 species